rnacentral:rRNA from 2 species
CCCCGGUAAACGGCGGCCGUAACUAUAACGGUCCUAAGGUAGCGAAAUUCCUUGUCGGGUAAGUUCCGACCUGCACGAAUGGCGUAAUGAUGGCCAGGCUGUCUCCACCCGAGACUCAGUGAAAUUGAACUCGCUGUGAAGAUGCAGUGUACCCGCGGCAAGACGGAAAGACCCCGUGAACCUUUACUAUAGCUUGACACUGAACAUUGAGCCUUGAUGUGUAGGAUAGGUGGGAGGCUUUGAAGUGUGGACGCCAGUCUGCAUGGAGCCGGCCUUGAAAUACCACCCUUUAAUGUUUGAUGUUCUAACGUGGACCCGUGAUCCGGGUUGCGGACAGUGUCUGGUGGGUAGUUUGACUGGGGCGGUCUCCUCCUAAAGAGUAACGGAGGAGCACGAAGGUUGGCUAAUCCUGGUCGGACAUCAGGAGGUUAGUGCAAUGGCAUAAGCCAGCUUGACUGCGAGCGUGACGGCGCGAGCAGGUGCGAAAGCAGGUCAUAGUGAUCCGGUGGUUCUGAAUGGAAGGGCCAUCGCUCAACGGAUAAAAGGUACUCCGGGGAUAACAGGCUGAUACCGCCCAAGAGUUCAUAUCGACGGCGGUGUUUGGCACCUCGAUGUCGGCUCAUCACAUCCUGGGGCUGAAGUAGGUCCCAAGGGUAUGGCUGUUCGCCAUUUAAAGUGGUACGCGAGCUGGGUUUAGAACGUCGUGAGACAGUUCGGUCCCUAUCUGCCGUGGGCGCUGGAGAACUGAGGGGGGCUGCUCCUAGUACGAGAGGACCGGAGUGGACGCAUCACUGGUGUUCGGGUUGUCAUGCCAAUGGCACUGCCCGGUAGCUAAAUGCGGAAGAGAUAAGUGCUGAAAGCAUCUAAGCACGAAACUUGCCCCGAGAUGAGUUCUCCCUGAGACUUAGAGUCUCCUGAAGGAACGUUGAAGACGACGACGUUGAUAGGCCGGGUGUGUAAGCGCAGCGAUGCGUUGAGCUAACCGGUACUAAUGAACCGUGAGGCUUAACCUUACAACGCCGAAG